UGCCGGCUCUUUAGUAAGCGCGCGCUGGGGUUGGUGACACGAAGAGGGUCUCACUCAGGAUAUUGGCAUCAGUGUCAAGGCCCUGGAGACCGUCAUUGUUUGGAGAACCCAUCCGCGAAUGUAAGGAGAGCAUAGCUGCCGUGCCAGCGGUGAGAAAGUCUCCUGGAAUAUUACAGAGAAGGCAAAGGGCUUUUUGUAGGAUUUAUGUGGUUUACACCAGGAGUAGGCUUCUUACGAUUUUUAUUUCCUCUUCACAACAUUUUGCAGUUUUUCCUCAGAUUGUCAUGUGUGAGGUCACAGCUGCCUGGGUUCUGGAUGAUGGUGUUUCUGCCAGCAUUGUCCACCAAAGGAAGGUCCACUAGAGAAGAAGGGAACUGUGCAAGAAACCAUAACGGAGACGAAAGAGGACAGCAGGAUUAAAAUGGGGUCUGGGGUCCUGGUGCUUGUCCUGGCAGGAUGGACCCUUCAGCAGCCUCGAUGCCAGAUGUAAGGGCCUCACCAUGUGACCACUCGGAGGCCAUCUUGCCUGCUGGACGCAGCCUCCACUCAGAGUCCCCGUGCUCGGCCUCCCCUCCCGGGACGAGCUGUCCCCGGGCUGCCUGUCCUACUUGCGAUGCUUUGACUUACUCCAGUCUCCAGAGGUCACCUGGUUUUCGUGGCAAUGCCGCGCUAACCAGUCUUGGGCUAAGGUACUGCCCCAGCAGCAGUGUGCUCACCCUGAGGUCGCCCAGCGGGGGCUCCCCGGCCCAAUCCAGUGCAGCCACAACCAGCAGCCGCCUCUGCCACAGCAUGGAGAACCUGCACUGGGUGGCGACUUCGGAUCGUGGUGUUUUUGGUGCCCCCUGCCGGAUCAUGGAUGGCGAGUUCAUCUUUCGCUGUGGUGCUCAAUGGGGCAAUGGCACACCUGAGGCCUUGUACCCCUGCAGGGUGCCGCUGAGGCAGGACCUGGCGCUCUUCCCUCAGUGGCUCUUUCCAAGCCUGGAUGAGAGGGUGAAGAAUGGGACUGCCACCAAGGGCCUGAAAGAGAAGUUUCGCUUCCAGAGCGCUGGGGUCACGGAGCCAAACAAGCCCCUGCGCACCCCAACUGGCCAGCGUGACCCCAGGGCCGCCUGCUUGAGGAGCCCAGAGGACAUCAAGCGGGAGGCCCUGCAGAGGCUCCGCCUCUGCCGCCAGAGGAGCUCCCCUGACCUCUCCCUGUGCUGCCCAGCCCACCCUGUGGAGGUGGCCAAGUCUCGCACUGCGGAGUCUCUGUUCCGCCUGAGCCCCCCUGGACCUCGGAACUGCCUGGAGGCUGCGAUAGAACGCAGGCGCCCCCCCUUGGGCCGGCUGCAUAUACCCACAUUCGAGGAGUUUAAGAGGAUGAGGCAGAAAGAGAGCAGGCGAGGUGGGGGCAGCCAGGGCCAGGCUGAGGGUGGGCGAGGCCUGGCUCAGAGUCGGGAGGACUCGUCAGGGGUGGCACUUGCUGGACAGGAAGCCAGUGGGGGCCACAGCGGGGAAGCGGGGGCUGUGAGCACUAACAGGAGCCAUCCCAACAGCGGGCAGCUGGAAGAUGCCGAUGGUGGGACUGCGGGUCAGGUCUUCACGUUGGACAGCAUCACUGUCCCCAUAUGCUCCAGCCCCACACCCCGCUCGCCACUGCAGCCCCGGCCUGCACCCCAAAUGGACCCGACCGGGACCUCUCUCCAGAACCCCAGUGGUGGCCUGGAGGCCCCGUCUGCGUGCUGCGCCUCCCUGCUGCUGGACGGCUCCAGGAUCACCAGGAUUAAGGACGGGGUCAUUGGCUCAGCGAUUGAGCUCAUCAAGAAGAGCUGCAGUGCUGAGGGCCCCGCCUACCAAUCACGUGACCCGGACAGCUCCCGCCCGAGCCAGCAGUCGGAUGCGGUUUCCAUGACGACAGCGGGCCACAGCACAGAGGCACGGAAUGUGCCAGGCGGAGGAGACACGGGAUGCCCGUCCAGCCCAGGGUGCAGGCGGUCCAGCUCGGACGCGGCCUAUGAGCCGCCAGAGUCGGCGAGGGCUCAGCGGGAGCGCCGGCUCCGCCCCCACUUCAGUGACCCAAUGCCGGCAGACGCCGCCAAGCGCAAGCAGCUGGAGAUGAAGAUUGCAGUGGCUGCAAGGCUGCACAGCCUACGGAGGGACAAGGAGGAGGACAGCAGGCCCGUUUCUGAGGCACGGUCAGGAGACAUGGCCGGGGAGGGGCAGCAACGUUGGAGUGACGUCAGCAGCCUGAGUGCUGACAGCGGCGUGGUCGGCCUGGGUGACGAGCGAGAAGAUGAGGAGGAGCCACGGGCAGCUCGACUGGUGACCAGAACUGAGCGGGGGGACAGCGAUGUGGACUCUGAGCAGACUCGGUCCUGGGAGAAGCCCAGCGACCAGUUUGGGAUGUGGCGGACCCACAGGCCCUGCCCUGACUGCAGUCGGAGCGAGCCGGCUCGGGCUGAUGGCAUGUGUGCGCGGUGUCUAAAGCAGCGCACGGAACGCAAGGAGGCAAUCCUGGAGUUGCUGAACACCGAAGCAAGCUACGGCGAAGACCUGCGCAUCAUUAAGGAGGAGUUCUAUAGCCCCAUGCAGGGUGCAGGGCUGCUCACUGCUGAGCAGCUUGUCGUGGUCUUCAGCAACGUGCAGGAGCUCAUCGAUGUCAAUGAGAAGUUCACAGAGCGCCUACAGGAGAGCAUUGAUCGUGCCUUUGAUCAGGGUGAUGAAGACUUGCAGACCGUCUGCAUAGGCGAGAUCUUCUUGGAGUUUGUCACCAUGCUGCCUGCCUUCCAGACCUACUGCCUGCAACAGUCCGCCUCCGUCAACAUGCUCAAUAGCCUGGAGAAGGAAAAGGAGCUUCUCAGGAUCUUCCUAGACGUCUCGCAGAAUGACAACACGGCUCUGCGACGCAUGAACCUGCGUUCCUUCCUGAUGGCCCCGCUGCAGCGCGUCACCAAGUACCCACUGCUGCUGAGUCGCAUCAGCAAGGCCACUGCCGAGUGCCACCCAGACCGCGGGCGCCUGCGUGAGGCCAAGAGCCAUGUGGAGUCCCACCUGGAGCACAUCAACACCAAGACGAGGCAGGAGGGCACCCCUUGGUCUCUGCGCUCCUUCCGCCGGGACAGCCGGCGCAAUCGCGAGGCCGCCAAUGUCGAGAUCCGCGAGGCAUCCAUGCGAACGGUGGGUUGGACGCGGGAGAGCACACGCUUUGUCAUGGAGGGGCCCCUGCAGCUGGCUCAGCCGGCCGACGGUCAGUGGGUGAAGAAGGGCAGCCGGGCCCUCAAGUUCCAGAACGUGCAGAGCCUGCUGAUGGUGCACACGCAGAGGGCAGGCGACGGGCCCCCUGACGGCAUGGAGUCCCCGGAGCCUGUGCGGGAUGGUGUGUUGGUGCUAAUCAAGGACAAGAGCAGCGGCAAGUUUGCCGUGCUGCGGGAGCCUAUCCGGCUCAGCAACUGCGUGGUGUCCUCGGACCCCGAGUGUGACGACACCUUCGAGCUGCUGGACAUCCCCCGCGAGGCCUUUGUGUUCCGCGCCGUGGACAAAGCCCGUACCCAGCAGUGGUUCCGGCAGAUCCGGCGGUACGCUCGUGACUUGGGGCCCUGGAGGAAAAGGCGAAAUGCGCUCCCAAACAUCAUGAUCAACACGGCACAGAGCCGCUCCUGAGCCUGAGGGGAACCUCAAAAUACCCGGUUAGCUGUAGCUUGUCCAUGCUAGGAAGAUGGCAGUCCUCAGUGAAUUGUGCUGUGUCCCUGACGUGCAGACCUGUUAGGGGACUCCGCUGGCCUCAAUUCCGAGAAUUAUUUGCUGCCACAAAAAGUUACUUCUGUUGAAGAGCAUGAUUGUAAAAUAGACCUACGUUAGUGAGAAUGCUCAAACAAGUGUAAAACUGUAUGUAGCUUAUUCACAAAGAACAGAUUCUUUCUUUUUCCUUUGUUGAAUGAAAUAUACCAUGAGAUUUACCAGCCCAUGUUCCCCUAUUAAGCUGGACAGGCAGCACUUCUCAUACUCUUUUUUUAUUUAACUGCAAGUUGUCGUAAAGCCAAACAACUACAGGAAAUUCGAGGCUCAGUGCUAGUUAGGCUUAAUGCAGCCACUCCCGCAUACGGCACUCACAGAUAACCUGGGCUGAGGCCCCCCAGUGGUGAUGUAUGGUACAUGCUUCUACGCAGUCUGUGUAUAUCUCUGCUACACGUCAGACCCAAGGUCAACUCGGCCAGCGUGCUGUCCACCAUGUGACCAGGACCUACUGUGCAGUCUUUGACAUGUCUCUGUCUCUGACACUGAUGGAGUGUUUUUCAUUUUUUUUUUAUGAGAAGUCUAAGUCACCUGUUUUCAUACUCCACUGACAGUCUUCAUUUAGUGGAUCAUCAGUUUGCAACAUACACUGUACAACACUGUACGUUUGAUCGCUCGUUUGUUUUACCUUAAAUGUCUCUGUACGUUAUGAGUGCGGAUUUUUGUUUUGGGCACUUUAAAACAAGCAUAUCAUAGCAAGAUAGCACUGUACUGAGGUCCUGAUUCCCAGCAGCUCAUCCUCACCUCUACUGAAGAAUGCAUUAUUCUGUUACAGUUGUUCUUUGGCAUCAUGUGUUACACAAACACUAUAGAUGGUUCAUAGCAAUAUUUAUGUACCGUGUCAAGCACAGUCUACCUGAAAGAGGGAAAUCACUGUGACACAGCCCUGGAGCUGAGUCACAGUGUCUGACGGGCCAGAAACAUAUGCCCUUCUGCAGUCUUUUCACUCUGUACAUAUUUAUAAAUGUCAAUAACUCUGCAUCUGAAAUGUCCCUCUAUCUUAAACUGCUAAAUAUAUUUUCCUGUAUUUUACAGAAAGUUCAUAUUUCCUCCAUGUAAGAUAUUGUGAAUUGUAAAUUUAAAGAACACAAAUGUGAAAUACUGUUGUCUAAGGCUUUUCAUAUAAGGCCUCUUUCUCCCAUCAUGGCCUUUGUGUGGCCACUAUGCCUCCAAUAAGCUGCCUGUCUUACCAGUAUUACUUCCUCCUCUGAAAUGUAGGCGAGUUUCACUCACACAGCUGGGUCUUUAUGCUAAAUGCUUCCAUCUCCUUGAUGGUGAUUAACGUUAAAAUGCCAGGAUGCCGUAUUGACAGCAAUGCUUCAGCCAUCAUUUGCCAUUAUUUCUUUUCAUUUUGACAUUGCUGAUGUCAUCGUAGGAUAUUCUGGAAUCCUGCGUCACUGCCUGCCCUACCAUGAGGUGACAUCAUUUUAGGGUUGUCCCUGAUUGGAGGUAUGGAAUUACACCACCGGUGAGACCUUCUCAGGGUGAACGGGCAUAAACAAAGCUCAGCCAUGAAACUGGCCUGUGAGAAACCAUGAAGACUAUCAGCACUGCACUGCCCCCGUGGAUGAAAGGGCCCCUCUAACCUCCAGAGAGGUUGGCCAGUCCAGUGAAGAGGGGGAAGAGGAUGAAAUGGAUGAAGCUGAUAUGAGAGGAUGGCUUGGUCACUUUGUCCCUGUCCAAUGGUGUGACAGGAAGCCCCUCCAGCUUCUCCUUGACACUGUGGAAAGAGACAUUAUAAAAAAGUAUGAAGCCAGCUUCUUGGAGGAAGCAGACAUCAUGCGGGAGCAAAUUUACUGCUGAUGCAUUUUCUUUCAAAAUUACAUUGUACUUCUAUACCCUGCAAUGGACUGGAAUUACAUCUAUGAUGUUCAGCUGCCUUGAGCCCAGUGCUUCCCGGCCGAGGCUCCAGGAUUCCCACAAGACCAGUUUGGAUAAUUGGUUGGAUGGAUUUUACUGUCUUCAUACAUGGAUGAUGCAUACCUAUCAGCUGUGGUAUAACUGCAGUUGACCUUAGACCCUUGUUUUCAUCCUCCAAGGUGAAUGUGAUAACAGGCAGUAUUGCACUGGAGGCAUUCAGAAAAUAUUACAGUAGAGUAGAGGAACUGGAGCUUAUAAUUGGAUGACCUAAUUAAGCCCAGUCAUGUGGACUGGCUGAUCUUUGCCAGUGGGAUUGUAGAGAUGAUACAGUAAGCUGAUACAUUGUCACUACAGUGAGGCCCUGAACUAUUGUCUGGGUUACUACCUUCCGGGGAGCAAGCAGAGGCCUCCGGCAUCUCAAUGCCCAGCCAUCACUGGGUAUCCCCUACAGACCACUGUACAGGCCUUCGAGUGCAAAGCUCACGGCAGCCAUAGUACGGAGUUUUAGUGAAGAUUGGGACCAUAUACACCAUGAACAUCAGAGAGCUUCCCUCAGCUGCUAAACCUGGGAGUAAUUGUGUUUCUUGAUCUAAAUGCAUUUAAGUGCAACAUCCGAAAAAGACCAUUAGAAUCCCAUGAUGACUAAUGCAAAGUGUAGCUGAGCAGUGAGCACCAUGCAUGCUGACAAAUUCACCCUCAAGACAGGAUGGAGACUAAAAUGAAUUAUUACAGUAAUGAGAAAUCAGUCAGCAGCCAAAGCUGAAUUACCAAAAUUACAGUUCAGCUGUUCAGUGACAGACAGAUUAAUGCUGGUAAUAUAGGAAAAGCAGGUCUGGUAAAAUGGAUGGAUGGAUAAAUUACUAUUAAUUUGUCAAAGCUAAUUGUACUGUUGGAAGAAAUGCUCCUAUAGGAGCAAAUAAUGGCCAGACUAUGAUGCUUCACUGAUAAAACACGAAAACAUUGCAGAAACAUUCCUCAAUGCAGUCAGGAAGCUGACUGAGUGUAAGCAUGUUAUUAAAGUGCAUUGUUGACUA